rnacentral:rRNA from 1 species
UUGAACGCUGGCGGCAUGCUUUACACAUGCAAGUCGAACGGUAACAGGCCUUCGGGUGCUGACGAGUGGCGAACGGGUGAGUAAUGCAUCGGAACGUGCCCAAUCGUGGGGGAUAACGUAGCGAAAGUUACGCUAAUACCGCAUACGCCCUGAGGGGGAAAGCAGGGGAUCUUCGGACCUUGUGCGAGUGGAGCGGCCGAUGUCAGAUUAGCUAGUUGGUGGGGUAAAGGCCCACCAAGGCGACGAUCUGUAGCGGGUCUGAGAGGAUGAUCCGCCACACUGGGACUGAGACACGGUCCAGACUCCUACGGGAGGCAGCAGUGGGGAAUUUUGGACAAUGGGGGAAACCCUGAUCCAGCCAUUCCGCGUGAGUGAAGAAGGCCUUCGGGUUGUAAAGCUCUUUCGGCAGGAACGAAACGGCGGAUACUAAUAUUAUCCGUUACUGACGGUACCUGAAGAAGAAGCACCGGCUAACUACGU